AAUAAGUGUAGUUUUACACUAUUCACGUUCAACGUUUGACCAUUCGUCUUAUUUGAAUUUUUUUUAGAUUAAUAUUUUUAUUGCUAUUAGAUGAUAAAAUAUGAAUAAUACUUUAUGUGUGACUAAAUAUUUUUAAAUUUUUUAAAUAAGACGGACGGUCAAACGUUGCACAUGAAUAUUCACGGCUGUAUUAUUU
rfam:Oryza sativa (indica cultivar-group) chromosome 1, whole genome shotgun sequence.